AGUGAACGCUGGCGGUAGGCCUAACACAUGCAGGUCGAACGGCAGCACAGUAAGAGCUUGCUCUUACGGGUGGCGAGUGGCGGACGGGUGAGGAAUACAUCGGAAUCUGCUUUUUCGUGGGGGAUAACGUAGGGAAACUUACGCUAAUACCGCAUACGACCUACGGGUGAAAGCAGGGGAUCUUCGGACCUUGCGCGAUUGAAUGAGCCGAUGUCGGAUUAGCUAGUUGGCGGGGUAAAGGCCCACCAAGGCGACGAUCCGUAGCUGGUCUGAGAGGAUGAUCAGCCACACUGGAACUGAGACACGGUCCAGACUCCUACGGGAGGCAGCAGUGGGGAAUAUUGGACAAUGGGCGCAAGCCUGAUCCAGCCAUACCGCGUGGGUGAAGAAGGCCUUCGGGUUGUAAAGCCCUUUUGUUGGGAAAGAAAAGCAGCAGGUUAAUACCCCGCUGUUCUGACGGUACCCAAAGAAUAAGCACCGGCUAACUUCGUG
rnacentral:rRNA from 1 species